CCUACGGGAGGCAGCAGUAGGAAUUUUCCACAAUGGACGAAAGUCUGAUCGAAGCAACGCCGCGUGAGUGAAGAAGGUUUUCGGAUCGUAAAACUCUGUUGUUGGAGAAGAAUGUAUCUGAUAGUAACUGAUCAGGUAGUGACGGUAUCCAACCAGAAAGCCACGGCUAACUACGUGCCAGCAGCCGCGGUAAUACGUAGGUGGCAAGCGUUGUCCGGAUUUAUUGGGCGUAAAGCGAGCGCAGGCGGUUUCUUAAGUCUGAUGUGAAAGCCUUCGGCUCAACCGAAGAAGUGCAUCGGAAACUGGGAAACUUGAGUGCAGAAGAGGACAGUGGAACUCCAUGUGUAGCGGUGAAAUGCGUAGAUAUAUGGAAGAACACCAGUGGCGAAGGCGGCUGUCUGGUCUGUAACUGACGCUGAGGCUCGAAAGCAUGGGUAGCAAACAGGAUUAGAUACCCUGGUAGUCCAUGCCGUAAACGAUGAGUGCUAGGUGUUGGAGGGUUUCCGCCCUUCAGUGCCGCAGCUAACGCAUUAAGCACUCCGCCUGGGGAGUACGACCGCAAGGUUGAAACUCAAAGGAAUUGACGGGGGCCCGCACAAGCGGUGGAGCAUGUGGUUUAAUUCGAAGCAACGCGAAGAACCUUACCAGGUCUUGACAUCCUUUGACCACUCUAGAGAUAGAGCUUUCCCUUCGGGGACAAAGUGACAGGUGGUGCAUGGUUGUCGUCAGCUCGUGUCGUGAGAUGUUGGGUUAAGUCCCGCAACGAGCGCAACCCUUAUUACUAGUUGCCAGCAUUUAGUUGGGCACUCUAGUGAGACUGCCGGUGACAAACCGGAGGAAGGUGGGGACGACGUCAAAUCAUCAUGCCCCUUAUGACCUGGGCUACACACGUGCUACAAUGGAUGGUACAACGAGUUGCGAGACCGCGAGGUUUAGCUAAUCUCUUAAAACCAUUCUCAGUUCGGAUUGUAGGCUGCAACUCGCCUACAUGAAGCCGGAAUCGCUAGUAAUCGCGGAUCAGCAUGCCGCGGUGAAUACGUUCCCGGGCCUUGUACACACCGCCCGUCACACCAUGAGAGUUUGUAACACCCAAAGCCGGUGAGGUAACCCUUCGGGGAGCCAGCCGUCUAAG
rnacentral:rRNA from 1 species